rnacentral:rRNA from 1 species
GACGAACGCUGGCGGCGUGCUUAACACAUGCCAGUCGAACGAUGAAAGAGAAUCCGAUCUCUUCGGAGUGAAGAAUCUCUGGAUUAGUGGCGGACGGGUGAGUAACGCGUGAGCAAUCUGCCUUACACAAAGGGAUAGCCUCGGGAAACCGGGAUUAAUACCAUAUGAUAUCUAUUAACCGCAUGGUCUAUAGAUUAAAGAAUUUCGGUGUAAGAUGAGCUCGCGUCCCAUUAAUUAGUUGGUGAGGGUAACGGCCCACCAAGAUAGCGAUGGGUAGCCGAUCUAAGAGGAUGACCGGCCACAUUGGAACUGAGAAACGGUCCAAACUCCUACGGGAGGCAGCAGUGGGGAAUAUUGCACAAUGGGGGAAACCCUGAUGCAGCGACGCCGCGUGAGCGAUGAAGGCUUUCGAGUCGUAAAGCUCUGUCCUAUGGGAAGAUAAUGACGGUACCAUAGAAGAAAGCCCCGGCUAAUUACGUG